rnacentral:rRNA from 1 species
AACGAACGCUGGCGGCAGGCUUAACACAUGCAAGUCGAGCGCAUCCUUCGGGGUGAGCGGCGGACGGGUGAGUAACGCGUGGGAACGUGCCCUCUUCUACGGAAUAGCCUCGGGAAACUGAGAGUAAUGCCGUAUACGCCCGCAAGGGGAAAGAUUUAUCGGAGGAGGAUCGGCCCGCGUUGGAUUAGGUAGUUGGUGGGGUAACGGCCUACCAAGCCGACGAUCCAUAGCUGGUUUGAGAGGAUGAUCAGCCACACUGGGACUGAGACACGGCCCAGACUCCUACGGGAGGCAGCAGUUGGGAAUCUUGGACAAUGGGGGCAACCCUGAUCCAGCCAUGCCGCGUGAUCGAUGAAGGCCUUAGGGUUGUAAAGAUCUUUCAGCUGGGAAGAUAAUGACGGUACCAGCAGAAGAAGCCCCGGCUAACUCCGUG